UGAUAAUUAGUUUAAACCAAAACAAAUGAUUUCGACUCAUUAGACUAUAGUUAGCCCUAUAAUUAUCAA
rnacentral:tRNA from 1 species